GAUGAACGCUGGCGGCGUGCCUAAUACAUGCAAGUCGAGCGAACAGACGCGGAGCUUGCUCCUCUGACGUUAGCGGAGGACGGGUGAGUCACACGUGGAAACCCUACCUAUAAGACUGGGAUAACUUCGGGAAACGGGCGCUAAUACCGGAUAAUAUAUUGAACCGCAUGGGUCAGUAGUGAAGGACGGUUUUGGUGUCAGUUGUAGAUGGAUCCGCGCCGCAUUAGCUAGUUGGUAAGGUAACGGCUUACCAAGGCGACGAGGCGUAGCCGACCGGAGAGGCUGAGCGGCCACACUGGCACUUAGGCACGGUCCAGCCUCCCACGGGCGUCCGCAGUGCGGAAUCUGCCACUAUGGGCGAAAGCCUGACGGAGCAACGCCGCGUGAGUGCUGAAGGUCUUCGGAUCUUAGAACUCUGUUAUUAGGGAACUCCAAAUGUGUACGUAACUAUGCACGUCUUGACGGUAGCGAGUCAGAAAGCCACGGCUAACUACGUG
rnacentral:rRNA from 1 species